AACGAACGCUGGCGGCAUGCCUAACACAUGCAAGUCGAACGAAGCCUUCGGGCUUAGUGGCGCACGGGUGCGUAACGCGUGGGAAUCUGCCCUUGGGUUCGGAAUAACAGUUAGAAAUGACUGCUAAUACCGGAUGAUGUCUUCGGACCAAAGAUUUAUCGCCCAAGGAUGAGCCCGCGUCGGAUUAGCUAGUUGGUGAGGUAAAGGCUCACCAAGGCGACGAUCCGUAGCUGAUCUGAGAGGAUGAUCAGCCACACUGGGACUGUGACACGGCCCAGACUCAUACGGCAGGCGGGAGUGGGGAAUAUUGGACAAAGGGGGAAAGCGUGUUACAGCAAGGCCGCGUGAGUGAUGAAGGCCUUAGGGUUGCAAAGCUCUAUUACCAGGAAUGAUAAUGACAGUACCUGGAGAAUAAGCUCCGGCUAAGUCCGUGCCAGCCGCCGCGGUAAUAC
rnacentral:rRNA from 1 species